rnacentral:rRNA from 1 species
GAUGAACGCUGGCGGCGUGCCUAAUACAUGCAAGUCGAGCGAACAGACGAGGAGCUUGCUCCUCUGGCGUUAGCGGCGGACGGGUGAGUAACACGUGGAUAACCUACCUAUAAGACUGGGAUAAUUUCGGGAAACCGGAGCUAAUACCGGAUAAUAUAUUGCACCGCAUGGUUCAAUAGUGAAAGACGGUUUUGCUGUCACUUAUAGAUGGAUCCGCGCUGCAUUAGCUAGUUGGUACGGUAACGGCUUACCAAGGCGACGAUGCGUAGCCGACCUGAGAGGGUGAUCGGCCACACUGGAACUGAGACACGGUCCAGACGCCUGAGGGAGGCAGCAGUAGGGAAUGUUCCGCAAUGGGCGAAAGCCUUACGGAGCAACGCCGCGUGAGUUAUGAAGGUCUUCGGAUCGUAAAACUCUGUUAUUAGGGAAGAACAAAUGUGUAAGUAACUAUGCACGUCUUGACGGUACCUAAUCAGAAAGCCACGGCUAACUACGUG